ACCGUCAUGGCGCAGUGGUAUAACCGUGUGAAUGUAAACGUAAUGGUUGUGGGUUCGAUUCCCACUGGAGUUA
rnacentral:tRNA from 1 species